rnacentral:rRNA from 1 species
GAUGAACGCUAGCUACAGGCCUAACACAUGCAAGUCGAGGGGCAGCGGGGUUGAAGCUUGCUCCAACUGCCGGCGACCGGCGCACGGGUGAGUAACACGUAUCCAACCUUCCGUUUACUCAGGGAUAGCCUUUCGAAAGAAAGAUUAAUACCUGAUAGUAUGGUGAGAUUGCAUGAUAUCACCAUUAAAGAUUUAUCGGUAAACGAUGGGGAUGCGUUCCAUUAGCUUGUUGGCGGGGUAACGGCCCACCAAGGCAACGAUGGAUAGGGGUUCUGAGAGGAAGGUCCCCCACAUUGGAACUGAGACACGGUCCAA